AGUAAUGCAAAGUAUGAUAAUGAUGCAGUUUGUUAUGUUCUUUUCGUCUCUACUUCAGGGAUAGAGAUCCUUCUGUUCAAGGGGAUUAUCAAUUUAGACAUGGGUAGUGCAAGUACAAUCCCAUGGAAAUGGUAAAGACUUGGGCAGUAUGAGGGACAACAUGUCAACAACCGACUAAUGUGAAAUCCAUUAUUGCUCAUCUCUUUCCCUUUCUACAACCGAGUCGAGAAUAUGCUACUACACAUCUGUAAGACGUCGUAUGAAUUAAAAUUGCAGGUGUCUUUAGGAGGUGCAGAGCAAAUUUAUUGGAGAUUCAGGGAAGGCAUUAAAUGCAGAAUGCAUAGCUAUAAGUGAUGCAGUAAAUUAGUGCUGGGAGCUAGAGCUAAAGGAUGUAUUGAUGGAGACAGGCUUGAAAGGAAUAAUUGAAUUUUAUGCUGGAAAU